rnacentral:rRNA from 1 species
CAGUAGCCACGGUAAUACGGAGGAUCCAAGCGUUAUCCGGAAUUAUUGGGUUUAAAGGGUGCGUAGGCGGCAUGCUAAGUCAGGGGUGAAAGACGGUGGCUCAACCAUCGCAGUGCCUUUGAUACUGGUGUGCUUGAAUGUACGUGAGGUAGGCGGAAUGAGACAAGUAGCGGUGAAAUGCAUAGAUAUGUCUCAGAACACCAAUUGCGAAGGCAGCUUACUAAGGUAUGAUUGACGCUGAUGCACGAAAGCGUGGGGAUCAAACAGGAUUAGAUACCCCUGUAGUCCCUGUCUCUUAUAC